rnacentral:rRNA from 1 species
UGGGGAAUUUUGGACAAUGGGGGAAACCCUGAUCCAGCCAUCCCGCGUGUGCGAUGAAGGCCUUCGGGUUGUAAAGCCCUUUUGGCAGGAAAGAAACGUCAUGGGUUAAUACCCCGUGAAACUGACGGUACCUGCAGAAUAAGCACCGGCUAACUACGUGCCAGCAGCCGCGGUAAUACGUAGGGUGCAAGCGUUAAUCGGAAUUACUGGGCGUAAAGCGUGCGCAGGCGGUUCGGAAAGAAAGAUGUGAAAUCCCAGAGCUCAACUUUGGAACUGCAUUUUUAACUACCGGGCUAGAGUGUGUCAGAGGGAGGUGGAAUUCCGCGUGUAGCAGUGAAAUGCGUAGAUAUGCGGAGGAACACCGAUGGCGAAGGCAGCCUCCUGGGAUAACACUGACGCUCAUGCACGAAAGCGUGGGGAGCAAACAGG